AUAUGAGAUAUAAGUAUAACUGUAGCCAUAUGCCCGCAUAAAACAAUUAAAACAUUUUGUUUUUCAUGUCUAUGGACUUAAAACGGUGUGGCCGCGUAUUACAUUCUCAAGUUAUUGGACAAAGCGAACAUUUUUUUAUCGACAUGAAUUGAGAAAAAAACUAAAAUAAUCGAAAAUUUCAUGUGCAUAUGAAUACCAGAAUACCUCGACAUGAAUCUAAAUAUCUUGAAAACGUUAUGGUUUUAAAUUCUAAUGAAUACAAUCAGUGAAAAUUGCAUGUAUAACUACAGUAGGUAGUUUAUUUUAGAGUAGGUAAAACGAAAAACCAAAACCGAACUUAGGUAUUUAAAAAUUCGCGUUUUCUUAAAUUUUUUUUUUGUUAUUCCCAGCGCUUUUUGUAGAGUAACUAGGUACUGUUCAUUUCGACAUCCCCUAUGCACUUACUAGAUUACACUUACCGGAAAAGAUGAGAAGCGGAGCAUUGUUUCGAAUACUUAUCGUGUACACUGACACAAAUAAUAAAAAUGUAUUAAGCAAUAAGCAGAACGUACAUUUUGUCAUUAGUAUCAAUAUAGGUCGAUUCACUCUAAUUUUUAAACUAAUUAUGCUAAAUGUGAUCGUAAAUUUGCUAUAUAUAAGACGGACACAAUAAAAUGCCCGUGUUACGUGUUAAAUCGUGGAGCUGCAUCGUUCACGAAUUUUCAAAAUUUUAAUGCCCGCGGUUCUGUCUUAUCACUAUGUACCGCUAAAUAGUAAUAACUGUUAUCAAAUAAAUAACAACAUAAUAUUAUUAUUUUUUCGUAUGCCGACUUUAAAUUUGAAUCACUCACGAAUCUCGAUUAUUUGAAAUUUGAACAAAAAUAAAGACUACAGAACACUCGUAAAGAGUUCUAUUCAUACAUUUUAAUACAAAACCACCAUGGACAAGUGUAUUCUUUUCAGUAAAACAUUCAAUGUAUCGCCUCGCCACAACAAGUCAAUCAUCUUCAUUAAAUCUGCGGUAAUCGUUUCACAACUACUAGUGAUUGUAAACAAUGUUCUCAAAACACUUGUCUGGGAUAGAAAAGUAAAAUACAUUUUAUUAAUUUAGGCAACAUUGGUACUACUCUGCGCACGACUAGUAAAUCGCAUCUAAGAGAAAAUUUUGUUUCUCCAACGAUGGGUUAGAAGUAAAUGAACAGACGAAUAAAGGAUUUGGAGGCCAUGAUUUUAAUUCACCCAUAAAAGCCUUAGACACCCAAUAAUGUCUAAUUCACACACACUUGUUUCAUACAGUGGAUUAUGCUUAUUAUGGUUUUCAAAACUGAAAUUUAUGAUGUACCACAUACACGAAACUAGGAAGUUGAGCCAAUGUAUUGACAAAUUUUCAGAUGUUGACUUUCUUGGAGAUAAUUCUACCGACUCGACGAAUUAUGAAACUUAAAGGUGAAAAUAUUGUUGAUAGGUUUUAAUUCCAAAUCUACUUUACUGUGCUAUUAACUAACAUACCCACCUGUUCACGGCCACAUAGUAUUAUAUCUAAAUGUGUGCGUGGACAUAUAUAUGUCUAUAGAAAGAGCUCAGCCCGUUUAGUCAUAAUAAAGCAAUAAAUUAAUAUAUAUGUUACAAUAUUAUAAUAUCCAUGACUUGUUUUCAAUAUAAAAUACAAAUAUU